rnacentral:rRNA from 1 species
AUGGCGCUACAGAGAAAACCUUGGGUGGCCGCUAAGGGAAUUUCUGAUCGAGACGAAGAAGGUGUUGGGGGCCGAACGCAAAAAGAGAAGAUGGCAAGGUGGAGUGAGCUCAAGGUGGUGGAGGAUGAGAACUUUGCCACAAGUUCUUCUUUGGGCCAUAUUCCGUCACUUGCACACCGCUCAGUGGUGCAUGAUUCAUUUAGUUGGGAAAAGGAGGAGAGCCUUCUUAGCACUUCCAUUCUUAUUUUUGGUCAUAUGCAUGUUUCUGCAGCUGAUGAGCUCAUGAACGGAAAGGUUCAAGCCAUGGUCAUCUCGCCAGAGACAUCACCUGAAGCCGAGCUAUUCGCCAACCUCGCGAAGCGCAGCAGCAUCCCGAUCCUUUCCUUCUCGGCCACCUCGCUGGCAUCAAUUCCGUCGCAGGCACGUUUCUUUGUGCACAGUGCAGCCAACACCAACUCCCAGGCCGCGCCCGUUGCAUCCAUCCUUGAGGCAUUCCAAUGGCGCGCGGCCGUCCUGCUACUCGAGGAGUCCACCUACGGCAUCAGCAUUGUCUCGGCAUUGAUCCACGAGUUCCAGGGGCACGGGCACGGGCACCGCGUACGCGGCAUAAUGGACAGCGUGGCUGUGCCAGCCGACGCGACAGACAGCCGCCUCGACGUAGUGUUUCUUGCAGUGAAGAACAUGCCGGCGCGGGUGGUCGUCGUGCAUGUGACUUCCGCUCUGGCUGUGCGCCUCUUCCGCCGGGCCAUGGCCGCCGGCAUGAUGUCGGAGGGGUACGUCUGGAUCGCCACAUCCGCCGUGGGCGAUGCGGUGGACAGUCUCAGCCCCGGCGACCUCGACUGCCUGCAGGGGGUCGUCAGCCUGCGGGUCCACGUGCAGGCAACGGAGCAAGUUAGAAACUUCUCAAGACGGUUCAAGCAGAGGUUUCGGCAGGAGAACCCGGCUACCCAUGACACCGUGAGCGUGCCGGUGUGGCUACUCUGGCUGUAUGACACGGCAUGGGCAACCACCACGGCGGCCGACAGGUCCUUCCGAACGACGACGCACGCAGCUGGAACGGGACUUGCCGAUGCCGUGCUCAGCACCAGGUUCCAUGGCCUGGCUGGAAGUUUCAGGCUGGUCGAUGGGCAGCGGCAGAUCCCAGCAACAUACGAGAUCGUGAAUAUCAUAGGCGCCGGAGCGAGGACGGUCGGGGUGGAGCGAGUCCCCAAAUGGGCGUCCGCUUCGCGUGGCUGUCCCGGUGAAGCGUGGAUUCAGCCAAUUUGUGAACAUUUCCGGCGAUCCAAGGACGGGAAGAGAAAUUAUCACCGGCUACUGCAUCGACGUAUUCCAUGCAGCCACGGCGAAAUUGGCCCAUCCAGUCGCGUAUCAGUACGUGCCAGUCAACGAUAA